rnacentral:rRNA from 1 species
AGCGAACGCUGGCGGCAGGCCUAAAACAUGCAAGUCGAACGCCCUAGCAAUAGGGAGUGGCGCACGGGUGAGUAACAUGUGGGAAUAUGCCUUUUGGUACGGAACAACGUUUGGAAACGAACGCUAAUACCGUAUGGUCCCUCCGGGGUAAAGAUUUAUCGCCAAAAGAUUAGCCCGCACUAGAUUAGCUAGUUGGUAAGGUAAUGGCUUACCAAGGCGACGAUCUAUAGCUGUUCUGAGAGGAAGAUCAGACACACUGGGACUGAGACACGGCCCAGACUCCUACGGGAGGCAGCAGUUAGGAAUAUUGGACAAUGGGCGCAAGCCUGAUCCAGCCAUGCCGCGUGAGUGAUGAAGGCCUUCGGGUUGUAAAGCUCUUUAGCCGACGAAUAUAAUGACUGUAGUCGGAGAAUAAGCCCCGGCUAACUUCGUGCCAGCCGCCGCGGUAACAC